rnacentral:rRNA from 1 species
UCUAUAACUCCCAAACCCAUGUGAACAUACCUAACGUUGCCUCGGCAGGUCGCACCUACCUUGUAGCACCCUACCCUGUAGGGCCUACCCGGGAGGUGCGGGUAAGCCUGCCGGCGGCCCACCAAACUCUGUUUGAUAUUGAAUUCUGAACCUAUAACUAAAUAAGUUAAAACUUUCAACAACGGAUCUCUUGGUUCUGGCAUCGAUGAAGAACGCAGCGAAAUGCGAUAAGUAAUGUGAAUUGCAGAAUUCAGUGAAUCAUCGAAUCUUUGAACGCAUAUUGCGCCCAUUAGUAUUCUAGUGGGCAGGACCGUUCGAGCGUCAUUUCAACCCUUAAGCCUUCGUUGCUUAGUGUUGGGAGCCUACGGCAACGUAGCUCCUCAAAGUUAGUGGCGGAGUUGGUUCACACUCUAGACGUAGUAAUUUUUUAUCUCGCCUAUUAGUUGGACUAAUCCCCUGCCGUAAAACCCCCAAUUUAUCAAGGUUGACCUCGAAUCGGUUCAGACAAACUCGCUAAAUUGAAGCAUCUUAGUCAGCGAAGGAAAAGAAACCAACAGGGAUUGCCCUAGUAACGGCGAGUGAAGCGGCAACAGCUCA